GACACAGACACUGGGAGACUAGGGGACUGGGCGACAUGGGGACACUGACACUGUGAUACAUAGGUACACUGAUGCCAGGCUUGCCUUCCAAUUCUUUGGACAGACAUGCCCCCUUUUUGGGCAUGUUUGUCCCUUUUGGCAGUUCUGGUCACGUGACUCGCAUCAGUGACCCACCCUUUUACUCCGCCCAUUGACUUCCUGCUUCACUUGACACUAAUGUUAGGGGGUAUGGAUUUACUUGAAAGAUGAAAGUAUAAAUUAGAUAAAGAGAUUAGCAUAGGGUAUGUGUUUUCUUAUAGUUGCAUCCUUUGAGUUUCCCUCCAACACCAACUCCAUCAGAUACACGACGCUUGAGAGGUACGACUGUUUUAGUGUUUUUGGUCGAUAAGAUUCUGUAAGUAGGCCCCAUCAUAAUUGUCAGCACCAGGCCCACUGGGCUCUUAAUCUGGCCCUGAGGAGUAAUGGGAGUUUGAGUGCAGUGCAUAAUUUUGUAUGUCACCCACCCAAUGUAUUCCCAAUUAAGGGUUUAGAAAAAUAUCCUUUUCUUUUACCUGAAGACAGCAAGGUGAAUUGUUAGUGUAGGGCUCGUCUAAGAGGUUUAACCCUGACCUGGU